GGGGGGUUCGGAAGGAUCAUUG
rnacentral:rRNA from 1 species